rnacentral:rRNA from 1 species
AUUGAACGCUGGCGGCAGGCUUAACACAUGCAAGUCGAGCGGGGUGAUGGUGCUUGCACUAUCACUUAGCGGCGGACGGGUGAGUAAUGCUUAGGAAUCUGCCUAUUAGUGGGGGACAACAUCUCGAAAGGGAUGCUAAUACCGCAUACGUCCUACGGGAGAAAGCAGGGGAUCACUUGUGACCUUGCGCUAAUAGAUGAGCCUAAGUCGGAUUAGCUAGUUGGUGGGGUAAAGGCCUACCAAGGCGACGAUCUGUAGCGGGUCUGAGAGGAUGAUCCGCCACACUGGGACUGGGACACGGCCCAGAGUCCUACGGGGGGAAGAAGUGGGGAAGAUUGGACAAUGGGGGGAACCCUGAUCUAGCCAUGCCGCGUGUGUGAAGAAGGCCUUACGGUUGUAAAGCACUUUAAGCGAGGAGGAGGCUCUUUUGGUUAAUACCCAAGAUGAGUGGACGUUACUCGCAGAAUAAGCACCGGCUAACUCUGUGCCAGCCGCCGCCGUAA